CCGAAGGCAGAGGACCUUCUGUGGGGUCCAGCGCUAGGCACGCCCGCGCUGGACCAGGGCUGCUGGGGACUGGUGGGGGCGGGGGUAGAAUUCCACCCUCUCAGGAGCUGGAAACUGCCUGGGCGAGCGAAUCCCAGCCCCUUGUUAGUGAGAUGAGGAAGCCGCAGCCCCCAGAAGCUCCAUGACCUGGCCAAGCUGAAGGCGGAGCUGUUUUGCAGACACCUGACAAAAGUCAUUUCCACCAGAGGGUUCUGUUUAGUCCUUACACAUGACCUGUGUAUUUUCUCUCCUGGAAUUUGAUAUCUCAGGAAACCUGCCAAGGCCAACUCACCAGGGAGAGACGGCUUAAUCUAUUACACCCUAAUGGAUCAGGAUGGAGGUCACUUAACGUUUCUGAAGACUGCAGGACACGUGUG